AAUAGAUACCCGGGUAGUCCACGCCGUAAACGAUGAGUACUAGGUGUAGGGGGUAUCGACCCCCCCUGUGCCGCAGUAAACACAAUAAGUACUCCGCCUGGGAAGUACGAUCGCAAGAUUAAAACUCGAAGGAAUUGACGGGGACCCGCACAAGCAGCGGAGCAUGUGGUUUAAUUCGAAGCAACGCGAAGAACCUUACCUGGACUUGACAUCCCCUGAAUAACUCGUAAUGGAGGAAGCCCUUCGGGGCAGGGAGACAGGUGGUGCAUGGUUGUCGUCAGCUCGUGUCGUGAGAUGUUAGGUUAAGUCCUGCAACGAGCGCAACCCCUGUCGUUAGUUGCCAUCACGUAAAGGUGGGCACCCUAACGAGACUGCCGCGGUUAACGUGGAGGAAGGUGGGGAUGACGUCAAAUCAUCAUGCCCCUUAUGUCCAGGGCAACACACGUGCUACAAUGGGCAGAACAGAGAGAAGCAAUACCGCGAGGAGGAGCAAAUCUCAAAAACUGCCCCCAGUUCGGAUUGCAGGCUGAAACCCGCCUGCA
rnacentral:rRNA from 1 species